rnacentral:ncRNA from 1 species
AAGUUAGCUUUGAAGGGUCGAAGUAGGUGCUAUUUACUUUUUUAGAGAGCUGAUGGUAGGUGAAAAUCAGUAAAGGGAUAGUAUGCGAAUUACAGCCUGGAGCAUUUCUUGUCUAACAAGAACGGUCAUUCCGUUAUCAUGUUGAGUGGAAGUCUAUAAUGAUAUAGCUUCAACAAGGGUGGUACCGCGAGAACCUCGUCCCUUUU